rnacentral:rRNA from 1 species
GGAGUCUAGCAUGCGCGCGAGUCAUUGGGACUAAGCGAAACCUAAAGGCGCAAUGAAAGUGAAGGCCCGCCUCGCGCGGGCCGAGGGAGGAUGGGCCGCGUCCACGCGCGCGGCCCCGCACUCCCGGGGCGUCUCGUUCUCAUCGCGAGAUGAGGCGCACCCAGAGCGUGCACGCUGGGACCCGAAAGAUGGUGAACUAUGCCUGGUCAGGACGAAGUCAGGGGAAACCCUGAUGGAGGUCCGUAGCGAUUCUGACGUGCAAAUCGAUCGUCGGAACUGGGUAUAGGGGCGAAAGACUAAUCGAACCAUCUAGUAGCUGGUUCCCUCCGAAGUUUCCCUCAGGAUAGCUGGCGCUCGCUUUUGCGAGUCUCAUCCGGUAAAGCGAAUGAUUAGAGGCAUUGGGGUCGAAACGGCCUCAACCUAUUCUCAAACUUUAAAUGGGUGAGAUCUCCGGCUUGCUCGAACGAUGAAGCCGCGAGAUCGGAUCAGAGUGCCAAGUGGGCCACUUUUGGUAAGCAGAACUGGCGCUGUGGGAUGAACCAAACGCAGAGUUAAAGCGCCUAAAUCGACGCUUAUGGGAUACCAUGAAAGGCGUUGGUAACUUAAGACAGCAGGACGGUGGCCAUGGAA